AGUGAACGCUGGCGGUAGGCCUAACACAUGCAAGUCGAACGGCAGCACAGUAAGAGCUUGCUCUUACGGGUGGCGAGUGGCGGACGGGUGAGGAAUACAUCGGAAUCUACUUUUUCGUGGGGGAUAACGUAGGGAAACUUACGCUAAUACCGCAUACGACCUACGGGUGAAAGCAGUGGAUCUUCGGACCUUGUGCGAUUGAAUGAGCCGAUGUCGGAUUAGCUAGUUGGCGGGGUAAAGGCCCACCAAGGCGACGAUCCGUAGCUGGUCUGAGAGGAUGAUCAGCCACACUGGAACUGAGACACGGUCCAGACUCCUACGGGAGGCAGCAGUGGGGAAUAUUGGACAAUGGGCGCAAGCCUGAUCCAGCCAUACCGCGUGGGUGAAGAAGGCCUUCGGGUUGUAAAGCCCUUUUGUUGGGAAAGAAAAGCAGCAGGUUAAUACCCCGCUGUUCUGACGGUACCCAAAGAAUAAGCACCGGCUAACUUCGUG
rnacentral:rRNA from 1 species